rnacentral:rRNA from 1 species
GAUGAACGCUGGCGGCGUGCCUAAUACAUGCAAGUCGAGCGAACAGACGAGGAGCUUGCUCCUCUGACGUUAGCGGCGGACGGGUGAGUAACACGUGGAUAACCUACCUAUAAGACUGGGAUAACUUCGGGAAACCGGAGCUAAUACCGGAUAAUAUAUUGAACCGCAUGGUUCAAUAGUGAAAGACGGUUUUGCUGUCACUUAUAGAUGGAUCCGCGCCGCAUUAGCUAGUUGGUAAGGUAACGGCUUACCAAGGCAACGAUGCGUAGCCGACCUGAGAGGGUGAUCGGCCACACUGGAACUGAGACACGGUCCAGACUCCUACGGGAGGCAGCAGUAGGGACUCUUCCGGAAUGGGCGAAAGCCUGACGGAGCACCGCCGCGUGAGUGAUGAAGGUCUUAGGCUCGUAAAACUAUGUUAUUAGGGAAGAACAAAUGUGUAAGUAACUAUGCACGUCUUGACGGUACCUAAUCAGAAAGCCACGGCUAACUACGUG